rnacentral:tRNA from 1 species
GGGCGCAUAGCUCAGCUGGUUAGAGUGCUGCCUUCACAUGGCAGAGGUCGAAGGUUCAAGUCCUUCUGCGCCCA